rnacentral:rRNA from 1 species
UACGGAGGGGUGCAAGCGUUAAUCGGAAUUACUGGGCGUAAAGCGUACGUAGGCGGUGUGUUAAGCAAGAUGUGAAAGCCCCGGGCUCAACCUGGGAAUUGCAUUUUUGAAACUGGCACGCUAGAGUCCUGAAGAGGGUGGUAGAAUUUCCAGUGUAGCGGUGAAAUGCGUAGAUAUUGGAAGGAAUACCAGUGGCGAAGGCGGCCACCUGGGUCAGAGACUGACGCUGAGGUACGAAAAGCGUGGGGGAGCAAAACAGG